rnacentral:rRNA from 1 species
GCGCACCAGGCGAGAAUCCUCCGCAAUGCGGGAAACCGCGACGGGGGGACCCCGAGUGCCGUGGCGACGCCACGGCUUUUCCGGAGUGUAAAAAGCUCCGGGAAUAAGGGCUGGGCAAGGCCGGUGGCAGCCGCCGCGGUAAUACCGGCGGCCCGAGUGGUGGCCGCUAUUAUUGGGCCUAAAAGCGUCCGUAGCCGGGCCCGUAAAGUCCCUGGCGAAAAUCCCCACGGCUCAACCGUGGGGCUUGCUGGGGAUACUGCGGGUCUUGGGACCGGGAGAGGCGGGGGGUACCCCUGGGGUAGGGGUGAAAUCCUAUAAUCCCAGGGGGACCGCCAGUGGCGAAGGCGCCCCGCUGGAACGGGUCCGACGGUGAGGGACGAAGGCCAGGGGAGCAAAACCGGAUUAGAUA